UCUGUUCAGCUAGGUUAUCAUUGACCAUAUGGGUUCACAAUGGGAGUAGAGCCCUCCUAGGCUGUCAGGCAGCAGUGGAUAGUUGGAAGCAGAGGGCUGGGAGAAGAGAGAAAGAAGGUGCCUCAGUGGAGGCAAAGUGACUGCUUGGAGCAAAAAAGGAAUCAUAGUUCAGGGAGGCCAGGAAGCCCUCCACAGAGAAGGAAAUGGCAAACCACUCCAGGAUAUUUGCCAAGAAAAACCCAUGGACAGUGUGUUGCCCUACUAUGGUCCAUGGAUCACCAAGAACAUCUGAACAACAACAAAUGAUGCCAGGGACUGGGCUAAGUGUUGUCCAGUUAUUAUUUCAUUGGAUCCUCAUGACCACUUUGGGAGGCAGACGCUCUCAUUAUCCCCCUUUUACAAUUGAGGAAAUUGAGUCAUUUCGGUCAUCUCCAACUCUUCAUGAUUCCAUUUGGGGUUUUCUUGGCAAAGAUACUGGAAUGGUUUGCAUUCCCUUCUCCAGCUCAUUUUAUAGAUGAGGAAACUGAGGCAAAUAGAACUGUCUCACAUCCUGAAAGCCUAAGGAUAUGACUGACUUCUGUAGUAACUUUUAGACACCAUGCAGUGAGACAACAUGGCCUUUUGGCAAACUCUGGUACUAGAUAGUAUCCCAAAGAAUGUUUUAUAGAAAGCAGUAAUCCAACACUCAGUAUGGAUUCCCAUAAGACUCUACUUCUCACCAGAUGCUAAAGUCCUAAUGCUUACUAUAGCAGAGGAAAAAAAAGAUGCACAUACCUCCAACUCUAAUGGAUGACCACAUUACUUUGAAAUAUUGUGUCAUGCAAAGAUCAUAAAAUCGUUGAUGUAGAACUGUAAGAAAUCUUUAAGGUCAGCUCACUGAUUUCCUUCAUUUUGUCCAAGACGGGGAAAGAAGUCAAUGCCCAGAGAAACUAUUCUAGCUCACACAAGGAGGAAGCAGAAGAACCUCUUAAACUCCCUGAGCUGCAGAAAUCCUUUUCAAUUUUAAAGUGCUGUGAUUUAGUCAUGAGAUCAGUGAAUAACUUCAUAGGCUAUUUUUGAAACAUUUUAACUUGGUCUUUCAGGAUAAAUAUUGCUGAAAUUGGCAGCCUAAAUAAGCAAGUGUUCAUUCUGUGUAUCUUUUGUCAACUUAAUUUCAAUGAUUGAUUGUAUUACAUAUAUGUUCAUCAAGAGAUUCCAAUAUUUUUAUUAUCAAGAAGCAAUUUUAUUCUAUUAAGGAGUAAUUUGCGUGCUAUGUUCACAUUGAAAUGUGUAUCUUUAUAACCAUAAAAAUAUCAAAAGCAUUCUAAUGAAUAUAAAUGUAUUUGGCUAUUAUUUGUUCACCUCUUAAUAAUUGGGACUUCCCUUCCCUUAACAAUAUCCACAUAUAAACAAACAUAUUUCUUAUACUUAGUUUCUAUGCAAAUAUAUUUUUUCUCAUUCUAGUAUGAAGUUAUUUGGAAAGAAGAAAAGGCAUAAUAAAACUAGAAUGUGACCUGUCUUGAAGUGGAAA
rnacentral:lncRNA from 1 species